rnacentral:lncRNA from 1 species
GCACAAAUUAGGGUUUAGCGAUAAGAGGUAUGUUUCUAUACCUUAUAUUAUGAUAUUAAUGCAUAUUAUAUGGUUUAAAUUUUGAUAAGAUGAUCUUGGAGUUAGGUUUUGGUUUUAUGAUUUCAUAAUAAUUGCUUUGAAAUCCGUGCUUCCGCCUUGACACCAAACCUUGCAGUGGUAUCAGAGCCAGGUUGUUAGAAUUAAAUCAUAUGAUGAUAUGUUAAUGAUUUAAUGGCAAUAUUAUA